AUUUCCGAUACAGGGACUCCGUCAAUAAGAUGCUGCCAUUGCCAAUUAGCCUCUUUGAAGUUAUCCAGAUGGACCAAAACCAGAGGAUUCGGUUCAGUGACAAGAGUGACCUAAAACGUUUAGCAAGGAUGUCAGAUAUUUUUCCCCUUUCAGCGGUGGCAUUUCUGCACUGUUUGGAAUCUCUGCAUUGCUAACCUGGGUGAAUGUCUUCCAUCGGCAGCCAGCUUGUAAUGGCUGCUCCUAGAUGAGAUCGAAUGAGAAUCAUCAUUGAAGUGCAGCAAGGUGGUAUAAGGAAGGGGCUGAGAAUUGUUGACCUCUGGUCCAGAGCCUUGGCCAUUCCAGUGUGUCCUGCUUGCCUGCCUGCCUGCCUGUGCCUGAGGGGAGAAAAUGGAACUGACAUCUCUCCUGAGGCCUCCCUGGUCAAAUGCAAUCACGUUGACUGAAAGCUCCCAUUGUGUUCAGUUCUCUAAACAACAAUCCCCCUACCCAGAGAGUGCACUUUGGCCAGAGGAAGAUGUGAUGAAGAGUCAUCUGUACCAGUGCUGACCAAUUUCAACAUCUCAUUUAAAACUGCAAGGAGUGGAGGAGGCGCUGCUGAGCACCAGAGCAUUGGAGCCCCCAGCACACUAAGUAGAAACAGCAAGUGAAACAUGUCUGUUCCUGGC